rnacentral:tRNA from 1 species
GCCCUCGUAGCUUAAUCGGAUAAAGCAAUUCCCUUCUAAGGAAAAGAGUGGAGGUUCGAGUCCUCCCGAGGGCA